UACACCACAAAUCCCACUUGACCAGACCGGUAUCGAACCCGGGCCGCCAGCGACUAACCGCUUGAGCUACAGCACGGCCCAAACUAUUCUGUUACUAUGUGAUCUCUUGGUCAUCGCAAAAUUAUGUGCAAAGCAGUAAGAAUGUUCAACAGCUAUAACUUCCAACAAGAUCCAUGCUUAUGCAGUCUAAUUUUCUUCAAAAUUUCAACCUUUCCUUUAAAAAAUAUUCAUCAUGAGUCGGCCACUGACCCAUGCUUUGCCUUCAGUCCAGAUUUGUGAACGGACCACGGUUUCAAGUUGCUUCAGCGUCCGCGUUGUUGACCGGAAAGGCACACCGAUUUUCUUAAUAAAAACUGGAAAGGUCUGCUGUUGUGCGAGUACAGUUUCAGAAAGACAUUUUUUCUUUAAUUAUUAUUUUGCUGCUGGCCCGCGAGUAGGAUUCUUCUUAGGAAGAGCUGGCCCCCUCUCUGUGGUGGUCGGGAGCAAGGGCUUCAGUAUGCAGACCUCGAGCUUCUGGCUUAGCGGGCUGACGUUGAGUGCCAGCGUCGUCUGUAACGUCUAUAAGGUCUGUAAUGAACUAAAGAAGUUCGGCAUUCUAAGUGUAAGCAGUCAAGGACGUCAAGGAGUACUUGGGCUGGGUGAAAGCUAUGAGGAAGAUGAAGGACAUUGUAUUUAUCGAUAUAAUUGAUGGUUCCUGCUUAGAAGGGCUGCAAGUUUUGAUUUCUAAAUCUAAACAACCCAAAACAUUGACAUAUGGUGCUGCAGUUGAAGCAGCAGGUUCCCUUCAGAUGAAUAAAAAUGGACAGUUGGAGUUGGCAGCUGAGGAUUUAACUGUAGUUGGGCCAUGUAUUGUGAUAGAUGGUUACCCAUUUGCUCCUAGAAAGUCGUAUUCCCCAGAUUAUGUGCGGCAGUUUUUGCACUUACGACCCAGGACAAGCACUUUCGGGGCUUUAUUAAGAGUUCGAGAUGCAGCAUCACAUGCUAUUAAUGAACAUUUUCGUAAUAAUGGGUAUAUACACAUACAUACACCAAUUUUAACAUCAAAUGACAGUGAAGGAGCAGGUGAAAUCUUUAGAGUGAUUCCUGAUAAUGAAAAUUUGGUUAAAGAAAUGGCAAAAGAUGGAAUGUCAUUUGAUGAAGCAUAUUUUGACUCCAAGACCUACCUUACUGUUUCAGGACAACUGCAUUUAGAGGCUGUUGUUAGAGGCCUGAGUAAGGUUUACACAUUUGGGCCAACAUUCCGGGCAGAGAACUCUCGUUCUCGACUGCAUUUAGCUGAAUUCUACAUGGUAGAAGCAGAAACAGCUUUUAUUGAAUCACUAGAGGAACUCGUGAAAGUGAUGGAAAAUUUGAUAAAAGAUGUUACAAGCAAAAUUGUGGGAAAGUGUACUGAUGAUGUUCGAACACUGCGUUCAGCAGCUGGAAAUGAAGACUCAUUAUUAUCUGUUCUUGAGAAACCUUUUGAAGUCAUGACAUAUGAAGAGGCAAUUGACAUCUUAGAUAGGCAUUCAGGAAAUUUUGUUUCACAGGUAGAGAGGGGGCAAGGGUUUGGGAAAGAACAUGAACUUUAUCUUGUGAAACAUGCUGGUGGUUGCCCUGUCUUUGUAGUAGACUGGCCUCAUGACAUCAAGCCAUUCUAUAUGAAACAGAGCUUACAAGAUGUCUCAAAGAAGCUGGAUCUACUUCCAUCAUCAGGUGUAAGUGGGGAAAAGGCUCUUAUUCAGCUUGGCCUGUAAGGAAUUAGUCUCAACCAGCAGGCAAAGUGACUGCUGUCUAAAACCAAUAAUUUCCACCUAGCUCAUAAUGAUGAAGAUGACGCAAAUCCACAUCCUGAUUUGCAGCUUCUACAAGUGGUUCUGGA